CCUACGGGAGGCAGCAGUGGGGAAUAUUGGGCAAUGGACGAGAGUCUGAACCAGCCAAGUAGCGUGAAGGAUGACUGCCCUAUGGGUUGUAAACUUCUUUUAUAUGGGAAUAAAAUGUUCCACGUGUGGGAUUUUGUAUGUACCAUAUGAAUAAGGAUCGGCUAACUCCGUGCCAGCAGCCGCGGUAAUACGGAGGAUCCGAGCGUUAUCCGGAUUUAUUGGGUUUAAAGGGAGCGUAGGUGGAUUGUUAAGUCAGUUGUGAAAGUUUGCGGCUCAACCGUAAAAUUGCAGUUGAAACUGGCAGUCUUGAGUACAGUAGAGGUGGGCGGAAUUCGUGGGGUAGCGGUGAAAUGCUUAGAUAUCACGAAGAACUCCGAUUGCGAAGGCAGUUCACUGGACUGCAACUGACACUGAGGCUCGAAAGUGUGGGUAUCAAACAGGAUUAGAUACCCCAGUAGUC
rnacentral:rRNA from 1 species